GCUGGGCACGGUGGCUCAUGCCUGUAAUCCCAGCACUUUGGGAGGCCGAGGCGGGUGGAUCGCCUGAGCUCAGGAGUUCGAGACCAGCCUGGGCAACAUGGUGAAACCCCGUCUCUA
rnacentral:SRP_RNA from 2 species